CGCAUGAUACAGUGAUCAAAGGAGCAAUCCGCUGAAAGAUGGGCUCGCGUCCGAUUAGAUAGUUGGUGAGGUAACGGCUCACCAAGUCGACGAUCGGUAGCCGGACUGAGAGGUUGAACGGCCACAUUGGGACUGAGACACGGCCCAGACUCCUACGGGAGGCAGCAGUGGGGAAUAUCGCACAAUGGGCGAAAGCCUGAUGCAGCAACACCGCGUGAGGGAAGACGGUUUUCGGAUUGUAAACCUCUGUUUUCGGUGACGAACAAAUGACGGUAACCGAGUAGGAAGCCACGGCUGACUACGUGCCAGCAGCCGCGGUAAUACGUAGGUGGCAAGCGUUAUCCGGAAUUACUGGGUGUAAAGGGAGCGCAGGCGGGAUAGCAAGUCAGCUGUGAAAACUAUGGGCUCAACCCAUAAACUGCAGUUGAAACUGUUAUUCUUGAGUGGAGUAGAGGCAAGCGGAAUUCCGAGUGUAGCGGUGAAAUGCGUAGAUAUUCGGAGGAACACCAGUGGCGAAGGCGGCUUGCUGGGCUCUAACUGACGCUGAGGCUCGAAAGUGUGGGGAGCAAACAGGGUUAGAUACCCUGGUAGUCCACACUGUAAAC
rnacentral:rRNA from 1 species